UGGUCUUCAAGGUACCACAAGCAAAGAGUGGGUUGAGUACAGAUUAUGAAUUUACAAUAUUAUUAAGUUUUUAUAUUUUCCGAUUAUUAUUACAGAAGUCUUCUAACAUAAGGACAACAUCAGUAGAUCCACUCUAUGGCAUCAGAUGAGGUGGAUGAUGAAUCUUUUGGAGGUGGUGAUGAUGACCUAGGAGAUGAGGGUGGAACAAGAAUGUCUAGGCCUGAUGGCACAACUGAAGAAAAUUCUCCAGAAUCAGAAGAGGGACAGCCUGGAGGAGAUGAUGAUGAUGACUACGAACCUGAAGAUGGACGAAAUAAACGGAAAAAAGGAAAAAAGAGGAAAGCUAGGAGUGAGGACAAAAAGGGAAGAAAGAAGAAGAAGAAGAAAAAGGCAGAUAGUGGAGAUGAGAGUGAUUAUGGAUUUGAUGAUGAUGGUGGUGGAAAUGACUCUGAUUUUGUUGGUGGAAGUAGUAGUCGUAAGUCACGGAAGUCUCGAGGAAGUCAGAAGCACACUCAACAAGCACCACCAGUACAGGAUUCAAAUUCAGGUAUGCCAACAGUGGAGGAAGUAUGUAUGACAUUUGGAUUGACUGAUGUUGAUGUGGAGUAUACGGAGGCAGACUUCCAGAACCUUACAACAUACAAGCUGUUCCAGCAGCAUGUGAGGCCAAUGUUAGGCAAGGAAAACCCUAAGGUUCCAAUGUCUAAGCUUAUGAUGUUAGUGGCAGCUAAGUGGCGAGACUUCACCAAUAUCAACCCCAACACAGAGCAGGAACCUGAAUCUGUAUCAGAAGAGAGCUAUGGACGCAAGGCAAGCCGAUCUAGGACUUCCAAGGACAGUUCAAAGGCGGAUUCAGACCUUGGAGGUCUAGAUGAUGAUGAUGACGAUGAGAGAGAAGAGAAAAUCAAGAAGAAACGUGGUCGAAGUGGAAAGAAAAGUGGAACCAGUGGUAGUAGCAGUAAGAAGAGUGCAAGCAAGGUGCCCACUCUCAAGAUUAAACUUGGGAAACGCAAGCGUGGCAGUUCGGAGGACGAGGGUGAUGCGAGUGGAGGAGUGAGCGACCGAGACUCUGAUGCGGAGUUUGAACAGAUGUUAGCAGAAGCAGAGGAAGCAAAUAAGAUCUCUGCAGAAGCUGAUGAUGAUGAUAUUGGUGGAGAGUCAAAUGUGGAGGAAGAAAGUGCAGGAAGUGGUGAUACACCUCCAUCAAGCCAAGCACCUAAUCAGGCACCUGUAAGGCGCAAAGCUAAAACAAAAAUCGGCAACAAAAGCAAGAAAAAGAAAAAGACCAAAACCACGUCCAAAUUUCCAGGUGGCGAUGGUGAGGAUGGCUAUGAGACGGAUCAUCAAGAUUAUUGUGAAGUUUGUCAGCAAGGUGGUGAAAUUAUUUUAUGUGAUACAUGCCCUAGAGCAUACCAUCUUGUGUGUCUGGACCCAGAAUUGGAGGAAACUCCAGAGGGCAAGUGGUCGUGUCCUCACUGUGAGGGAGAGGGAAUACAAGAGCAGGAUGAUGACGAGCACAUGGAGUUCUGCAGGGUUUGUAAAGAUGGUGGUGAAUUGUUGUGUUGUGAUUCCUGUCCAUCUGCUUACCACACAUUCUGCCUAAAUCCACCACUCACAGACAUUCCUGAUGGUGACUGGAAAUGUCCAAGAUGCUCGGCAAAGCCACUGCCAGGAAAAGUUGCUAAGAUCCUUACUUGGCGUUGGGCAGAGCCAAAGAAGUCGGAUGGUAAAGAAGAGGAGGAUAAGCCAUCCGAGGAACCAUCAACAAGCAGACGUCCUCCUCGAACACCAAAACCACAGAGGGAAUUUUUUGUCAAGUGGCAUGAAAAGUCUUACUGGCACUGUGAGUGGGUCUCGGAGUUGCAGAUGGAUGUAUUCCAUCCCCUGAUGAUCCGGAAUUACAUGCGCAAAUAUGACAUGGAUGAACCUCCAAAAUUGGAGGAACCAAUUGAUGAACUGGAUAACCGAAUGAAGAGAAUCAAAGAAGCUAAUGCAGAUGAUUCUGCACUAGAGGAUAAGUACUACAGGUAUGGUAUUAAGCCAGAAUGGAUGAUUGUUCAUCGAAUUAUUAACCAUCGAACAAUGCGUGAUGGCCGAACUCUGUACCUGGUGAAAUGGCGAGAUCUGUCCUAUGAUCAAGCUACUUGGGAAGAGGAAAAUGAGAGCAUUCUUGGUUUGAAACAGGCCAUUGACUUCUACAUGGAUUUGAGAGCAUCUUGUAAUGUUGAUGGGUCAGGUAGAAAGGGGAAGAAAGGGAAGGGAAAGAGAACAAAGACAAGGGAACUGCAAGAUGAGGAUGGAGACAAGACACCACGGUACACACCACCACCUGAGAAGCCGCUGACAGACCUAAAGAAGAAGUUGGAUAAACAGCCGGAUUAUAUUGACCAAACUGGUAUGCAGCUUCAUCCAUAUCAGUUGGAGGGUCUCAACUGGCUUCGUUAUUCAUGGGGACAAGGCAUUGAUACCAUCCUGGCAGAUGAGAUGGGUCUUGGUAAGACCAUCCAGACGAUUACAUUCCUUUACUCUCUCUACAAAGAAGGGCAUUGUAAAGGCCCAUUUCUGCUCAGUGUACCUCUUUCAACCAUCAUUAAUUGGGAACGUGAGUUUGAGACAUGGGCUCCAGAUUUCUACGUAGUGACCUACGUUGGAGAUAAAGACUCGAGGGCUGUAAUCCGUGAAAAUGAAUUGUCAUUUGAAGAAGGUGCAGUAAGGGGCGGUAGAGCUUCUCGGAUUAGAUCAAAUACUAUCAAGUUUAAUGUCCUGCUCACUAGCUAUGAGCUAAUCUCGAUUGAUGCAGCAUGUCUUGGAUCCAUUGACUGGGCAGUCUUGGUUGUUGAUGAAGCACAUCGACUCAAGAGUAAUCAGUCAAAAUUCUUCCGCUUGCUGGCAAGCUACAACAUUACGUACAAGUUGUUGCUGACAGGUACACCUCUACAAAAUAACUUGGAGGAAUUGUUUCAUCUGCUCAAUUUCCUGUGCCGAGAGAAAUUUAAUGAUUUGGCAGCCUUCCAGAAUGAAUUUGCUGAUAUUUCAAAGGAGGAUCAAGUUAAGAAGCUACAUGAAAUGUUGGGUCCUCACAUGCUGCGACGCCUUAAAACUGAUGUCCUGAAGAGCAUGCCAUCCAAGUCAGAGUUUAUUGUGAGAGUAGAACUGUCACCAAUGCAGAAGAAGUACUACAAGUUCAUCCUGACAAGGAACUUUGAGGCUCUAAAUCCUAAAGGUGGUGGCCAGCAGGUGUCAUUAUUAAAUAUAAUGAUGGACCUGAAGAAGUGCUGCAACCAUCCUUACCUAUUUCCAGCAGCUGCACAAGAGGCUCCUACUACUCCAAAUGGAACCUAUGAAACUACAGCACUCACGAAGGCUUCUGGCAAGCUGGUGUUGCUCUCUACCAUGUUACGUAAACUCAAGGAACAAGGCCACAGGGUAUUGAUUUUCUCACAAAUGACAAAGAUGCUGGAUAUUUUGGAAGAUUACUUAGAGGGCGAAGGCUAUAAAUAUGAGAGAAUUGACGGUAAUAUCACUGGAUCUGUGAGACAGGAGGCUAUUGAUAGAUUCAAUGCUCCUGGAGCACAACAGUUUGUAUUUCUGCUCUCCACAAGGGCAGGAGGUCUAGGUAUCAAUUUGGCAACAGCCGACACAGUUAUAAUCUAUGACUCAGAUUGGAAUCCACACAAUGACAUCCAAGCUUUCUCCAGAGCUCAUCGAAUUGGUCAGGCUAAUAAGGUUAUGAUCUAUCGAUUUGUGACACGUAACUCGGUUGAGGAGCGUGUAACACAGGUGGCAAAACGAAAGAUGAUGUUGACUCACCUGGUUGUGCGACCUGGUAUGGGAGGACGUGGUGCCACCUUCUCGAAGCAAGAGCUUGAUGAUAUCCUGCGUUUUGGAACAGAAGAGCUCUUCAAAGAGGAAGAAGGUAAGGAGGAUGAAGCAAUCCAUUAUGAUGAUAAAGCAAUCGAUGAGCUUCUGGACAGAUCAAAGGAAGGUAUUGAGCAGAAAGAGAACUGGGCAAAUGAAUACUUGUCAUCCUUCAAGGUUGCCAGCUAUGUCACCAAGGAAGGGGAGGAGGAAGAAGAACCUACAGAGAUCAUCAAACAGGAAGCAGAGAAUACUGAUCCUGCAUACUGGGUGAAGUUGCUCCGUCACCAUUAUGAACAGCAGCAGGAAGAUAUGGCGAGGACACUUGGCAAGGGCAAACGUGUGCGCAAACAGGUUAACUACAAUGAUGGUACAGUAGAAGGUAGAGACGAUGCUACCUGGCAAGAAAACCUCUCAGAUUACAACUCUGACUUCUCAGCUCCAUCUGAUGAUGACAAAGAAGAUGAUGAUUUUGAUGAGAAAACUGAUGGUGAGCCUGGACGUCGUAGUCGCCGCCGUCUUGAACGUAGAGAUGAGAGGGACCGUCCAUUACCUCCAUUGUUGGCACGUGUUGGUGGUAACAUUGAGGUUCUGGGUUUUAAUGCACGACAAAGAAAAGCUUUUCUUAAUGCCAUUAUGCGAUAUGGCAUGCCACCUCAAGAUGCCUUCAAUUCUCAGUGGUUGGUGCGUGACCUGCGAGGGAAGUCUGAGAAAAACUUCAAAGCCUAUGUUUCACUGUUCAUGCGCCACCUUUGUGAACCUGGUGCUGACAAUGCUGAGACAUUUGCAGAUGGUGUCCCUCGGGAAGGCCUCAGUCGACAGCAUGUGCUAACAAGAAUUGGUGUUAUGUCCCUCAUACGUAAAAAGGUUCAGGAAUUUGAACAUAUCAAUGGUUACUACAGUAUGCCCGAGAUGAUCCGUAAACCCAUAGAACCUAUCAAAGUAGGCAGUGGUGUAAUCCCGCCAGGCAUAGAACAAGGUGGCGAGAUGCCUCGCAGUGCCACUACGAGUACCAGUGCCACUCCUGCAACAAGUGCUGCAGCAAGCCCUGCUCCUACACUUAAUAGUCAAGAUGAGAGCAAGGAUAAGGAGGGAGAGGACAGUACAAGUAAAGAAGAACCAGGUAAAGAUAAAGAAAUGCCCAAAGAGGAAACGAAGGAAGUUUCUGAAGUAAGGAAGGAAGAAGCAGAAGAAGAUGGGGAGGAAAAGGAGACAGAAAAGGAAGAAACUGAUGAGAAGGAAGGAGAAGGCAAGGAGAAAGUGGCAAGUACAGAGGAUGAGAAGUCUGAAGAGGUAGAUAUAAGUGAAAAGAAAGAGAGUACUCCAAGUGAGGAAUUAAAAGCUGAUGAAAUUCCAGUCAAAGAGGAGAAAGGGAAAGAAGAAGAUACUUCAGAUGAAGAGAAGAGCAAGCCUGUUACACCCAAGGAUGAGUCAAAGAAGGAUGAUGAUGAUAUCGUUGUUGUCAAAGAUGAAGGUGAAGAUCAUAAGGAUGAGAAGAAAGAAGGUAUAAAAGAGGAUAAAAAGGAGGAGAAGGAAGAGGGUAAAGGAGUAGAUGACAUUGACAAACCUAAACGCAAGUUCAUGUUCAAUAUUGCUGAUGGAGGUUUUACAGAGCUACACACACUUUGGCUUAAUGAGGAGAAAGCAGCUGUUCCUGGACGAGAAUAUGAAAUCUGGCAUAGAAGACAUGACUACUGGCUUCUGGCAGGCAUUGUAACUCAUGGAUAUGGGCGCUGGCAGGACAUCCAGAAUGACAUACGAUUUGCCAUCAUCAAUGAACCUUUCAAGAUGGAUGUUGGCAAGGGAAACUUCCUAGAGAUAAAGAACAAAUUUCUUGCGAGAAGGUUUAAGCUCCUGGAACAAGCACUUGUAAUCGAGGAACAGUUACGGAGAGCAGCCUAUCUGAACUUGACGCAGGACCCAAAUCAUCCUGCAAUGUCACUGAACGCUAGGUUUGCUGAAGUGGAGUGCCUUGCAGAAUCACACCAGCAUCUAUCGAAGGAAAGCUUGGCAGGAAACAAGCCUGCCAAUGCAGUGCUUCACAAGGUUCUGAACCAACUGGAGGAACUCUUGUCAGACAUGAAAUCAGAUGUGAGUCGCCUUCCAGCCACUCUGGCACGGAUCCCACCAGUGGCACAGCGGUUACAGAUGUCAGAGAGAUCUAUCUUAUCACGUCUGGCUGCAACAACCACUGCUGGAUCAACUCCCACUACCCCCACCACCUCCCAGCAAGGACCUGCAGGUUUGCUGAGCAGUCAGUUCCCAGGGGGCUUCCAAGCUGGCCAACUUCCAGCUGGUUUUGCCACUGCUAACUUUGCCAGUUUCCGGCCACAGUACUCUGUCCCAGGACAACCCACACAAGGAUUUCCUGAAACGUCACCCGAUAUCGAUGUCUCUCGAGUGCCGUUGUUUCACGACGGCAACUGGAGGGAAUCGUGGUAGAGCACAAACCACAACAAUCAACAUUCACAGAAAAUAAUUAUUAAAAAUUAUGCUCACUAAACGAACUGCUCAGUGAAUUGAAGCUGGCUAUUCAGUGUAGAUUACAAAAAAGCUUACAAGGACAUGUGUAGAUGGAACGAAUUGUUAGAACAGCUGUUGAGUAUUCCACUUCGUCUUUGAAAGAAACUAAAUCUUAUAACUCUUAAUAAUGGAUCUCAGAAACAGUUGAAGACAUUAUUCUUUUUUAAAUUAUUGUUGGGUGUACCUACUCUAGCACAGUUGACUGUAUCUCCUGACACCAUGUUUAGUGAAUUUUAUAAGUGAAACAAGUUAUCCAUCACUAAGCUGUCAGGGGUCACAUAUUUUGAGGUUGUAUUAGUUACAUUUUGAUAGGAUUUUUAAUUUAUACAUUAUUAAAAGUGUGUGACUGAA